ensembl:lncRNA
CAAUAUUUAGCAACACUGUCAUGGAUUUCAAGUGCAGCCAACACUAUAGAAUAUAAACAAUGUAGCAUGUUAUGGAUUUCAAGUGCAGCCAACAAUAUAGAAUAUAAACAAUGAAGCAUUACCUCAACUAACCUGUGCUCCCCACACAUUGACAAAUGUAUAUAGGCUCACUACUGUUCUUUUAUUGUUUAUCUUUAAUUAUUAGUUAUUUUUACGUUUUAUUUAAAUUUGUUAUGUUUUUUGUUGUUGUUUUACUUCAGGUUUUUUUGUAAAUACUUUCUUAACAGUUAUUUUUCUUAAAACUGCGUUGUUGGCUAAGGGCUUGUAAGUAAGCAUUUCACUCUAAGGUCUACACCUGUUGUAUUCGGUGCAUGUGACAAAUAGCUGGUCUCUUAUUGAUGCCAUAGGACACACACUCACAAACACAUGCACACACACACAAACGCACAAAUAUCCAGCACUUACCAGCCAUCUCUGCCAACAAUGUCCAUUAAUUCCUGUAAAGGAAAUACAUCAUGAAGUGGAGCCAUUUUAGUCCACAGCCAUUCAUUCUUGUUUUUACACUCACAGAUAAUACACAUUUAACAAAUGAAAUCCAAAUGAGUUCACUUGCAAGCCCAGCUGUGCUACAUUGUGAAGCAUAUUUAUUUGGGGACAAAAUAUGUUUGUUUUUCUCUGUAUAAAAGCUUGGUUUCUGAGAUGGAGGAGUACUGUACAAAUCUAAUGUAUUUGCCCGAGUGGGUUUUUGGAUUGCUGCACAUACAGCCUAGAAUCAAAAGGGAUGCAUAUUCCUACACGGCUAGACAAGGCUCCCUCCCCAUGUAACAAUUAGACUCCCCUCUGCACACGGGACGUGUUUCGAAAAGGUCACAAGCAAUUACUGAACCGGAUAAAAGCUGGCAUGUCUCACAUGGCACUGCACACUCUCAUUAGGCGUGUACUGCAGCCUAGAGUGGGUCUCUGGGCCAUAAAAUCCCUGUGCUGCUCCCUGCCUUCCAACCCUCCUCUAAUAGGUCUGCACCCACCAGCGUUAGCAGCACAAGGGAAACUACACAUCACCUCUGGAUCAGAUAUGAGGAGAAAGGAGUACUGGCAAACACUGUGAAAGGAUGAGGGACUACUGUGCAUCACAGUGCUUACUCAAAACCUGACAACGGAAGAACAUGGUAUUUCCCCAAUCAUAAAGACAGGCUUAAUUUGUAUGGAUGUUUUAAAAGAUGGGAUUAAUAGAAAUAAAAGAGUAUGAUUAGUAUGUGUAUCUAUGAAUAUAGUCAUACUCAUGAACCAUAUAGGUUCAUAUAGGUCCCAUACAAAUUCAAGCCAAAGAGGAGAUAAAGGCAUGGGAGGAGUCUCUAAACUGCACGAAAAUGCAACAGAGAUCCUUUAUUGAUGUGAUCCAUGCACAUGAUACCUUGCUCUCAGGGCCGAUUCCAAACAGAAUACUUGUGGCGUUAUUGAAAUGGAAUUUUAGUACACCCAGUUUUACACACUCUGGCCCAUGUCGAUCCUAGUGCGCUAGAUGCACUCAUUGUGGACCCUGUCUAACACUUUCCAUACUGAGGUAUGAGAUCACAAAACUCACAAACACGAAAUCAAAACCGGAGGUCUUCAAUAAAACACUAUGGCCCAUCAAGUAGAAAAGGGCCAUUUGAAACCUUAACUAAUAGACAGUACUGUAUAUCGUAUACAUCUGCCUUUUCAACGUCUGAAGGCCAAAUGCAUGGGGACGAUUUUUCCGCUAGUAAUUCAUAUAGAAAAGUUCAAAAUGUGAAUCAUGCUAUUAACAGUUCAUUUAAAUCGAGCAUCCUAUUAUAUGAAAAAUAUAAUUGACAUAAAUAUCACACACACACACACACACACAAACAAACAAACACACACACACACUUACUCACGUACUUCCAGGCCACACACACACACACACACACACACACACACACACACACACACACACACACACACACACACACACACACACACACACACACACACAGAGAAAUAAUACUCACGUGCCUCCAGGCCACACACACACACGCGCAUACAAAUAAAUAAAAUGUAAAUUUCAAAAAGGCACAAUGCAAUGGUGAAAUUGGUAUUAGGCUAAUAUGUAAUAUUGCUAACCUAAAAUGCUCGAUAAGCUAUAUUGAAUUAAGUUGUGGGUAAGUGCAAUUCAUUAUUAAACAGUCGAUUUGCAUAUGCUUCGUCUAUUCCACUGGGAAUAAGGGCCAGUAAUUUCACUAAAGAAGAAAGAAAAGUAAUUUAAUUAAGGUAUGAACUAGCCUCCGCUAUAUGAAAACUAAACAUCUAAGAAGUCCUUCAUUCACGGAUAAGAUCAUGCACACUUGAAGAGAGGAUUCCUCAACGUCACUUGAAACAAAGAUCAAUCAAUACUGAAGGACUGGGUCUGUGCACCUGCAAACUUCAACCGUAUUCAAAUUCAAGUUAAAACAAGCGACGGAUAUCCACCCAAAUUUGUUUGCAUCUCUCUAUCAUUGAAAACUACGAAUAAACAUGUUAAAACAAUGUAUCAAUUCAUGGGGAGAUGAGGCAUGUGUUGACAGUAAACCAUAGCAAGAAAUUGUUGAUUUAUUUUAAUGGCCAAAUAUUAUUUCGAUGAUCAAUCGUUGAAAUAGGCAACUUUUGGAAAGAUUUCUAAACGAAAUAUAAUCGAAAAGGCAAUUUAACCAAAUGUAAGUGGGCUAGCUGCAAAAUCGAAAUUUCAUGCAAAAUCGAAAAAUAAAAUAGAGGAAUCAGACGGGUUUAUUCAGAAUUGCUGGUGCAUCGCGGUGUGUUUUUCUUUAGUAGUAAACCGUGGAGGGGAGUGAUCGGUAAAACAAUUAUGCAUUAUCGUUUAUUACGCAUAGGCUUAUCUAUUGAGCAGCAUAUGGGCUCAGAAUAUGGGCUGUCAGCGAGAAUAGGCCUAAGUAGUUAAAUACCGGACUACCGUAAGACCUAAAGCCUAAUACAAGGCUAUAUGAUGUCAUUUAAGACGAUUGUGAAUACCUACAGUAACGCGUGAAAUAUAAUUAGCCUGCAGUGUUCACAAGAUGCAACUAAGGUUACAAACGUCUCCGCUUCAGCUAAACAAACUUAUAACCCUGAUGUGUGCACGGCGUUUAAUGCAUAAGGCAUUGAGAACACUACCCAUAGGCCCUACAUGUACACUGACGAAACCGCCAGUUUGCCGAAAACGACAGCUUCCUUGCAACACAUCCAGUGAUGCGGUGGUGAUGUGUGUGCCAAACUAAAGUAAGCGCAUACCAGCCUCCUGCGUCAUGGGUUGUAACCACAGAGGUGACAUGAGACGAGAGGUGGACACCUGUUGGGACCCAGGUCCGCGCGCAUGCUGGCCUUUCUCCAGCCGCUACCGCAACUGGAGAAUGUGCUGGUUUGAGGCGCUCGAGACGAGGAUAUAGCCCAUACAGAAACACCAACUUUUGAGAAACUAUUCGAUCAAACUAGUAAUGGAAAAGCAUAACCUUUUGGUGUCAGUUCAUAUUUUUGUUGGCGUGAUGCCAAUCGUUAAUGAUUGAAAUGAUGCAUACAGAUUGAACUGAGACACAUCUAACUCCUGGAAAUCAAACAUGAGGGACAAAAGAUGUUUUGGGCUGAUUCGUUAUCUAAAAUGUAUUCUAUUUCAAGUAUGUUAGAAAGUGAUAAUAUCUUUCAACCGUUACAAAAACUACAUUUAAUUCAUGCAAAUGUUAAUCGAUUCACAACGGGCAUUUAGGGAACUUCAUAACUGUUUGUUUGGUUUUGUCACGUGACUUUUGCAGAGCCACAGUUGAACACGACCUUCCUACUUUACCAGCAGGUCAUUCUUCUCCCAGACAUGUAUUUAGGCACUUUUUUAAUCAGGAACAUGCACAAAAAAAGACUCCAUAGACCUAGAAAGACUUCAGUCAAUUUUGAGGACAUUUAUGUACAUAAUGCAAUAUUGAAAGUGUUAAAACUAUUGCGUAAUAGGCUAGCGAAAAUGUCAUUACAUUUUACUGAUUCAAUCGUACAGCCUAAAAUAAUAUUACUCCCCAGUCCCUUUAUAAAAGUCAUAAUUAUCCUUUUCAAUUGAUCAUUGAUGCUUAUGUAUCUAGUACGCAAAUAUUCAACAAUGUUGAUGAUUCGUUUUGCAUAUACAUUUCUCUACAGAGAUAAUUAAACUAUUAUAAGUAAUUGGCCUUUGAUUGACGAAAGCACAAACUCGAAAAUUUUCAACUAGUUAUAGGCUACAGAAAUAAUCAAAUGUAAAUCAUAUGUUAUUAAAAUGCCAUGUAGCCUAUUACUUAUAAUCCCACUAUACAUGUUGCAUUGUUUCUGAAUUUUCCUGAAAAAAAGGAAGAUUAAUAAAAACAAAUGCAUGUAAACCUACUUGACCAAAUAUCUAACGGUGCUAAUAGUAAUAAAUAAGUAAGUAUUCAUUAAUUUUAAAAGCUAUGGAUAACAGUUUAAUUAGCUUGUUGACAUUAUAUAAUAUUGCCUGUUAGCAACAGAAAUGUUUCAUAUUUUCAGCGUCAAAGUGCAGACGUUUAAACGAUUUUCUUCUCAGACAUGCCUUCAUAAAAACACAAUGCAAAACUCGAAAGAAAAUAAAUAUACUUUGUCAUUUGGUAAUUGAUGAAAGUCGACCCAUUGAUUUGUAAUUUGCUCUGUAGAUUUAGUAAGCGGCUGAAUCAGCUCUAUACCAGAUAGGCCUACCAGUUUUACCGUGCCUCCAAAGUACAAAUUUACUCGCAAUACAAUCAAAUACAGCUCGAAUUUAAACUUAAACUAUUUCACGUUGUAGUUCUUGUCAAAAAAGUUUCUGAAAAAUAUAUUUGAAACAUGCAUUUAUACCUGACACAUCACGACAUGUUUGUGUUCCAGUGGUCCUCUUAGCCAAAUAAUCUGCACAGUUGUGGCAGUAUGUUGGAAUCUGUUAAAACUAGAUGACUGCAUGUAAUUCCUAUUCUUUCCAGAUGAGGGAUGAGUUUCUGUUGAGCAGCCCUAUGGAUUUCUAAAAUAGUUUUCAACAGAAUUCCACAGAAUCCAAGCAAAAGCCUGUCAAGAAGAUAAACAACACAGAUAUAUAGACCUAAUGUAGUUCUGUCGCGUAUCACUUCAUCAAGAUAGUCAAUAAAUGAUGCUAAUUUCAUUGAGAAACAUUAAAUUUUGCAUUGUAUGCAUUAUGUUUGAUUUCCUAUUGCUAGCAGACAACCUGGAGAGCAGUGAGCAUCAAUAUCACACUAACUAUUUUCACAGUAACUGUACCAUAAUGAGCGAUCGCCCUCUCCUCUUAUUUCGCCUCCAUCCAAGGUUGCUGUGGUGACCCAACCUGAUGUUUU